CCUACGGGCGGCAGCAGUGAGGAAUAUUGGUCAAUGGACGAGAGUCUGAACCAGCCAAGUAGCGUGAAGGAUGACUGCCCUAUGGGUUGUAAACUUCUUUUAUAUGGGAAUAAAAUGUUCCACGUGUGGGAUUUUGUAUGUACCAUAUGAAUAAGGAUCGGCUAACUCCGUGCCAGCAGCCGCGGUAAUACGGAGGAUCCGAGCGUUAUCCGGAUUUAUUGGGUUUAAAGGGAGCGUAGGUGGAUUGUUAAGUCAGUUGUGAAAGUUUGCGGCUCAACCGUAAAAUUGCAGUUGAAGCUGGCAGUCGUGAGUACAGUAGAGGUGGGCGGAAUUCGUGGUGUAGCGGUGAAAUGCUUAGAUAUCACGAAGAACUCCGAUUGCGAAGGCAGCUCACUGGACUGCAACUGACACUGAGGCUCGAAAGUGUGGGUAUCAAACAGGAUUAGAUACCCCAGUAGUC
rnacentral:rRNA from 1 species